AUGCCCUUCCUUUUUUAUGUAAUGUUUUAUAACUCUUUCAGGGUGGGAGAAUGCUCGGGGUUUUGCGGUAUUGCAUUCACCUUCAUUCUUGCCAGGCUGGUGCUUUUGACUAAGGUCCAGCAUAACAGGCAGCCCUACCAUUUAUAUUACAGUGCAGGAAGUUAUCUGCCUUUUCCAGCUAAACAGCACCGAGAGAAAGAGGAAGCAUUUUUCCGAGCAAGCAGGAGGUGCCAUGUAGCACAACGGGGCAUCACCCUAGACUCCCAUGCCUUAGUUCCAAGAUCAGCACAUCAGUUCUGGUUUGUGGCAUCAUAUUUUUCUUAUUUUAAAGCAAGCAGAUAGGAUAUUCCUGGUUGACAGUUGCAGAAGGGGCAAAUACAUGUCUUUUAACACCUUCUACAUCACCCACAGGAAAAAGGCAAGAAAACAACAUACAGCAACCCUUCUGAAACAGCCUGAGGCAACGAGCAGAACAGAAAAAUAUCUUAACUUCAGCUUCUACCAUAAACUGCCUUUGGUUUAUAAAUGAUCCCAUUCUUUACCAGGAAACAUACCAGGGAAGUUUAAAACUUAAAUUCACCUCUCAGUCACUAAAAUUUCAAAGGAGGGGGAGAAAAUUGCAAAGUUAUCUACUGAGACCUUUGGUGAUUAGCAAUGAAAAGUGUUUGAUCUUCACCUGACAGUAGCUGAAAAGAAGCCAUCCUCAGUCCGAACUGCUUAAUGAAGGAAGAAUUGCAGAGCUUUCGCUCCCCUAUGGUUCAAGAUUAGCAGCAGUGAACAGCAAUUUCUGUUUGUUUUUACAAUAAUAUCCUGUUUUGUAAUCCACAGGAAAAGGAGUAUGAAAGUAGCAGCCUUGGCAGCAAGUAGGGGCCAAGGGACUGUUUUCUGAAAUCUCAAAGCUCAGGAACACAAAGGCUUGGAGGAAUUUCCAAGUACAGCGAAUGCCAAAUGGUAAAGAAAAUGUCAUGACAAUGAAAGAGUGGAAUUAUUUAUUCACCUUGUAAAUACAUUCUUCUUCCAAGGUCAUUUUUUUCUUCUUCAGUGAUCAAUUGACAGGCAGUGACUUCUAGCACCCACUAAAUGUUUAAGGCUUGCUAAGUUGUUGUUGUUGUUUUUUUUUGUUGUUGUUUGUUUGUUUGUUUUUUCCACCAAGGAUGAAACAACAGGAUAUAGUUAUAAUAGUAAUAAUAAAAAUAAAAAUGUGAGACUGUAAUUUAUCCCC
rnacentral:lncRNA from 1 species